GAGUGAAACGGCCCCUAAGAAAGAUUUGACGAAAGCAAAUUUUGAUGGGAUAAUUUUUAAAUUAAAUUUUUUAAAAAAAGUGACAAAAAGUUUUACUUUUUCAGGAAAUAGCUUUUUUUAAAAAAAACCGUACCCUAAACCGACACAGGUGGAUAGGUCGAGUAGACUAAGGUGGAUGAGAGAAUUAUAUUGAAGGAACUCGGCAAAAUGACUCUGUAACUUCGGGAUAAAGAGUACCUAAAUAUUAUAUUUAGGUGUCACAAAAUAGGGGGUUGCGACUGUUUAAUAAAAACUUAGGACUCUGCUAAAUGGUAACAUGAUGUAUAGGGUCUGACACCUGCCCGGUGCUGGAAGAUUAAUAGGAGAUGUUUGCGCAUUGAAUGGAAGUCCCAGUAAACGGCGGCCGUAACUCUGACGGUCCUAAGGUAGCGAAAUUCCUUGUCGGGUAAGUUCCGACCUGCAUGAAUGGUGUAACGACAUCCCCGCUGUCUCCAAUAUAAACUCAGUGAAUUUGAAUUAUCCGUGAAGAUGCGGAUUCUCUAUAGUUAGACGGAAAGACCCCGUGAACCUUUACUACAUCUUUAUAUUGUUAUUUUAUCUAAUAUGUGUAGCAUAAGUGGGAAUCAAUAAGACCUUCACGCUAGUGAAUUGUUUAGAUAACAUUGAAAUACCACUCUUAUUAAAAUAAAUAACUAAUAUUUUUAUAAAUAGACAGUGUAUGGUUGGUAGUUUGACUGGGGCGGUCACCUCCUAAAGAGUAACGGAGGUGUACAAAGGUAAGCUCAAAUUGGAUUAUAUUAUCAAUUGUAGAGCGCAAUGGUAUAAGCUUGCUUGACUGUAAGAUAGACAUAUCAAACAGGGACGAAAGUCGGUCAUAGUGAUCCGAUAAUUCUUUGUGGAAAGAUUAUCGCUCAACGGAUAAAAGGACUCCGGGGAUAACAGGCUGAUGACUCCUAAGAGCUCCUAUCGACGGAGUCGUUUGGCACCUCGAUGUCGACUCAUCACAUCCUGGAGCUGAAGAAGGUUCCAAGGGUUCGGCUGUUCGCCGAUUAAAGUGGUACGUGAGUUGGGUUUAGAACGUCGUGAGACAGUUUGGUUCCUAUCUUCUAUAGAUAUUUUGAAAAAUGAAAGAAUCUAACUCUAGUACGAGAGGACCGAGAAGGGUAAAUCACUGGUGUAUCGGUUGUUUAAUAGGCAUCGCCGAGUAGCUAAAUUUAUUUUGGAUAAUUACUGAAAGCAUCUAAGUAAGAAACCAUUCUUAAAAAUUUUUCAUAUGAAAACUGUAAAAGACUAUUACAUUGAUAGGUUUAAGUGUAAGUAUCGUAAGGUAUUCAGCUUAAAAUACUAAAAGUUCAAAUUUAAAUAU
rfam:Pythium ultimum DAOM BR144 ctg_1117875580677, whole genome shotgun sequence.